rnacentral:tRNA from 1 species
UGCGGCGUGGCGCAGGUCGACGGCGUCGGUGCCGAUGCCACUGAUGGCGAUGAUCUGCAGCGCCGGCAGCUGAUCCAUCAGCGCGUUGGAC